CCUUCGGGGAACGAUAACGGCGUCGAGCGGCGGACGGGUGAGUAAUGCCUAGGAAAUUGCCCUGGUGUGGGGGAUAACCAUUGGAAACGAUGGCUAAUACCGCAUAAUACCUACGGGUCAAAGAGGGGGACCUUCGGGCCUCUCGCGUCAGGAUAUGCCUAGGUGGGAUUAGCUAGUUGGUGAGGUAAUGGCUCACCAAGGCGACGAUCCCUAGCUGGUCUGAGAGGAUGAUCAGCCACACUGGAACUGAGACACGGUCCAGACUCCUACGGGAGGCAGCAGUGGGGAAUAUUGCACAAUGGGCGCAAGCCUGAUGCAGCCAUGCCGCGUGUGUGAAGAAGGCCUUCGGGUUGUAAAGCACUUUCAGUCGUGAGGAAGGUAGUGUAGUUAAUAGCUGCAUUAUUUGACGUUAGCGACAGAAGAAGCACCGGCUAACUCCGUGCCAGCAGCCGCGGUAAUACGGAGGGUGCGAGCGUUAAUCGGAAUUACUGGGCGUAAAGCGCAUGCAGGUGGUUUGUUAAGUCAGAUGUGAAAGCCCGGGGCUCAACCUCGGAAUAGCAUUUGAAACUGGCAGACUAGAGUACUGUAGAGGGGGGUAGAAUUUCAGGUGUAGCGGUGAAAUGCGUAGAGAUCUGAAGGAAUACCGGUG
rnacentral:rRNA from 1 species